rnacentral:rRNA from 1 species
UACGGAAGGGGCAAGCGUUGUUCGGAAUCAUUGGGCGUAAAGGGCGCGUAGGUGGUUCUGUAUGUCUACCGUGAAAGCAUACAGCUCAACUGUAUUUUGUCGGUAGAAACUGCUGUGACUCGAGUCCGGUAGGGGAGUGUGGAAUUCCCGGUGUAGCGGUGAAAUGCGCAGAUAUCGGGAGGAACACCAGUAGCGAAGGCGGCACUCUGGGCCGGUACUGACGCUGAGGAGCGAAAGCGUGGGAGCGAACGAGG